CCCUUAGAUGUCCUGGGCCGCACGCGCGCUACACUGAGUGUCUGAGAUACGAGUCUGCCUGGUCCGGCAAGGUCUAGGUAAUCGCUAAAAGACACAUCAUGCUUGGGAUAGAUUAUUGCAAAUAUUAAUCUUGAACGAGGAAUUCCUAGUGAGCGCAAGUCAACAGCUUGCGUUGAUUACGUCCCUGCCCUUUGUACACACCGCCCGUCGCUACUACUGAUUGGAUGUUUAAGCGAGGUUCUCGAACUGCUAGCGACUUAGCUUCGGUGAGGUCGCAGUGUGGGAAGUGAACCUAGCUUUGGUGUCUAGAGGAAGUAAAAGUCGUAACA
rnacentral:rRNA from 1 species